GUCUCGUGCCAUACCACCAUAAACAUGCCAGACUUUGUCCUAUCUUGAAAGCUAAGUAGGGUUGUGCCUGGUUAGUCCUUGGAUGAGAGAUAGCCUGGGAAUACCAGGUGCACUAAGCU
ensembl:rRNA 5S_rRNA 5S ribosomal RNA